rnacentral:rRNA from 1 species
AUUGAACGCUGGCGGCAGGCCUAACACAUGCAAGUCGAACGGUAACGGGCAGAAGCUUGCUUCUUUGCUGACGAGUGGCGGACGGGUGAGUGAUGUCUGGGAAACUGCCUGAUGGUGGGGGAUAACUACUGGAACCGGUAGCUAAUACGGCAUAACGUCGCAAGACGAGAGAGGGGGAGCUUCUGGCCUCUUGCAUGCGGAUGUGCCCUGUUGGGAUUAGCUAGUGGUUGGGGUCACGGCUCACCUAGGCGACGAUCCCUAGCUGGUCUGAGAGGGUGACCAGCCACCUUGGAGCUGAGACGCCGACCCGACUACUACGGGAGGCAGCAGUCUGGAAUAUGGGACAACGGUCGCAAGCCUGAUGCAGCCGUGCCGCGUGUAUGGAGAAGGCCUUCGGGUUGGAAAGUACUUUCAGCGGGGAGGAAGGGAGUAAAGCUAAUACCAUUCCUCAGUGACGUUACCCGCAGAAGAAGCACCGGCUAACUCCGUG